rnacentral:rRNA from 1 species
UCAGCAGCCGCGGUAAUACGGAGGGUGCAAGCGUUAUCCGGAUUCACUGGGUUUAAAGGGUGCGUAGGCGGGCAGGUAAGUCAGUGGUGAAAUCCUGGAGCUCAACUCCAGAACUGCCAUUGAUACUAUCUGUCUUGAAUAUUGUGGAGGUAAGCGGAAUAUGUCAUGUAGCGGUGAAAUGCUUAGAUAUGACAUAGAACACCCAUUGCGAAGGCAGCUUACUACGCAUAUAUUGACGCUGAGGCACGAAAGCGUGGGGAUCAAACAGGAUUAGAUACCCUGGUAGUCCACGCCCUAAACGAUGGAUACUCGACAUACGCGAUACACUGUGUGUGUCUGAGCGAAAGCAUUAAGUAUCCCACCUGGGAAGUACGUUCGCAAGAAUGAAACUCAAAGGA